rnacentral:lncRNA from 10 species
CUUUUUGGUCUUUCCUGCUGCCUUGUGAAGAAGGUGCUUGUUUCUUCUUUGCCUUCUGCCAUGAUUGCCAUGUGAAUCGCACCCCUGGAACUGUGCAGGGCCCACCUGUGUGGCCACACGCAGUGACCCUGAGCAAAGGAGUGACCACAGAAGUGCAUGGCAAAGCAGAAAGGUGUGACGUCUUGGAGGACGCGGGAGGAAAGCACGCCCAGCGGACAGGAGCCAUCACGCGGCUGCGGGCUGCUGCUGAGAACCUGGCGUGGGCCACCGUCGUCAGCAGCGUGGAGGUAACUGACGACCUUGGCCAAGAAGUUGGGUGGCAGCGUGGAGGUCAUGCUCAGAGACACUUGUUAUUGCAGUCAGAGUCCAUCUGGAUAAUCCUGGAUAAAUCUCAUCUGGAGAUCCUUCACCAGAUCACAUCGGCAAUGACCUGUUCCCCAAAUAAGGCCCUGUGCACAGGUUCUGGGGGACAUAUCUUGUAAUUGAAGACGUCUCACCAUAGCGGCCAGCCGUGCAACCACUGGGCCUGUCUGUGCCUGAACAACACACUGGCCUGCCUUUGCCUGAACAAGACAGCCUUAGUCUCAAAGCUUGCAGAUGGGUGUGGCCUGGUAGAAAAUUCUCAAGACAACGGCGGAGCACGCUUGCCCCUAGGAGACCAAGUGGCCGGAAUGUUGAGAAUCAGCCUUUCGCAGAAAUCCCCUAAGCGGGAGGCAGCAGGCUGACUCCAUCAGCCCCAGGCAGGCUUCUGGGCCCUGCAGCUAUGGCUCUUCAUCCUUUUACAUGUUCUUCGAGAAUCAGCUGCACCCUGGAUGCUUCUGACAGCUCAGAGGACAUCAGCAUGAGGACAAGCACAGGGCUUGAUGGCUCGGAGGGAAAUGGAGUUGGAAGAUUUGGACUUAAUGUGCACACAUUUUAGAAAUAUCUUAACAAAUUUUAUUUUGCUGAUAUCUUUCUUUUUUGUGUGUGCCAAAGUGAUGGCCAGUACAAAUCCAUGUCUAAUUAAGUCCAGAAGAGCUCCUUCAAUAAGCGUAAGAUGAAAGUUAUGAGUGAUAAGAAAGCGUCAUGUCAGUUUAAUUGGCAGCAUUUUCUCUUUCUUAGUGGUUCAUAAAAUAAGGCAGUGCUUUGCUAUCGACGG